rnacentral:rRNA from 1 species
GAUGAACGCUGGCGGCGUGCCUAAUACAUGCAAGUCGAGCGAACAGACGAGGAGCUUGCUCCUCUGAUGUUAGCGGCGGACGGGUGAGUAACACGUGGAUAACCUACCUAUAAGACUGGGAUAACUUCGGGAAACCGGAGCUAAUACCGGAUAACAUGUUGAACCGCAUGGUUCAACAGUGAAAGACGGUCUUGCUGUCACUUAUAGAUGGAUCCGCGCCGCAUUAGCUAGUUGGUAAGGUAACGGCUUACCAAGGCAACGAUGCGUAGCCGACCUGAGAGGGUGAUCGGCCACACUGGAACUGAGACACGGUCCAGACUCCUACGGGAGGCAGCAGUAGGGAAUCUUCCGCAAUGGGCGAAAGCCUGACGGAGCAACGCCGCGUGAGUGAAGAAGGUCUUCGGAUCGUAAAACUCUGUUAUUAGGGAAGAACAAAUGUGUAAGUAACUAUGAACGUCUUGACGGUACCUAAUCAGAAAGCCACGGCUAACUACGUG